rnacentral:rRNA from 1 species
UACGUAGGGUGCAAGCGUUGUCCGGAAUUAUUGGGCGUAAAGAGCUCGUAGGCGGCUUGUCGCGUCGGCUGUGAAAACUCGGGGCUCAACCCCGAGCCUGCAGUCGAUACGGGCAGGCUGGAGUCCGGCAGGGGAGACUGGAAUUCCUGGUGUAGCGGUGAAAUGCGCAGAUAUCAGGAGGAACACCGGUGGCGAAGGCGGGUCUCUGGGCCGGAACUGACGCUAAGGAGCGAAAGCGUGGGGAGCGAACAGG